AAGAAAAAAAAAACAAGAAAAUCGAGAAUCGAAUCGAAUCGUGACCCUCAAAUCGAAAAUGAAAUCGAAUCGAGGAUUUAGAGAAUCGUGACACCCCUAAUAUAUAUGUAUAAUGAUUGUUGCAAACAAUAUAACGUUAAAUAGCUACAGUGACCGUCUAGUUACACUUUACACAUGCCUAGUGAAGGCAAAUGUUUAUUAUUCUCACAUAAUUGCUCAUAAAAGAAUGCCUUCAAACAGCAUUUCGACAUAUUUAGUUUUCUAGCUGUUUGUUGGAUGCACUCUACACUGUGACAGUAUUUCAUCUAAAAUGUACAAAAUAUGCUUUACAACAAUACUAUUUCACACUGCAAUUUAUUUACAUUAACCUGCAUUACAAAUGCUUUACCCUAAACUACAAAUCACAAUAUGUAUGAAUAUUUUAAUAUAAUAUGUAAAAAUAUUUAAAACUAAUAUACAGUAUUUACACUGACAAAACUGUCAACCGUAUAUAACAACUCUCUUACAUCCUUUGAAGACAUUUUCCUCUGAAUGAGCGCGCGCGCUCUCUCUCUCUCUCUCUCUCUCUCUCUGGCUGAAUUUAACCUGGAUUACCCGUAUCACAUCCGCCGUUUAAAAUUAUUCUUCCGCAUGCUCGGUGUAAUUCCCCAUUCUCACCAGAUAGGGCCCCAAAUCCCAAAAUUUACGAUCAGUUUUAAAAGGCUACAAAACCCCCUGAUUUCAGCUGACUCCACCCCUGGCUCAAUUUUCAAAAAAUGCUAAAAAAAAAUGGGAGUGCUACUUUGGGAGGGGCACCGCAAUUAUGUUUGCAGUUAGGGGCGGGGCGGGGAGGGAGAGCCGAGUGGCCUGGGCUGGGCUGGGCUGCCGUUUUUCACAGCUAAAGUGUUAGUUUAGAACAUGGAUAUACUUUAAAGAAAGCAUUAUUAGACUUUCUGCUGGACAUCCUACUCCAAUUGGCAUAAUGCCCCGCCGCCGGGCUCCUUCGCUAGCUACGCCGCCGGUCACUCCAUAUCCGAGAAACAGGCGCCAUCUACUGGAAGCAGAGAGGUAUGUAUUUAAAAAAAAACAUUUAUUAUUUUCCACUGCUGACAAUAAGCUUCACAUCACCCUUCUGGCUCUGUGUCUGACAGUAAUGUUGCCAAAGUGUUCAUUAUUUGAUGGUUCAGUAAGAAUUUGCAUCUACAAUGUAAAAAUAUUGCAUUGGUGAAGAUGAUAAUGAUGAUCAAAUAAAUCCAGAUGCUCUUAUUGUUCA
rnacentral:lncRNA from 1 species